UACGUAGGUGGCAAGCGUUGUCCGGAAUCACUGGGCGUAAAGCGCGCGCAGGCGGUGAUCUACGUCUGGGGUGAAAGCCCGGAGCUCAACUCCGGGACUGCCUUGGAUACGGGAUCGCUUGAGGAUUGGAGAGGCAAGGGGAAUUCCACGUGUAGCGGUGAAAUGCGUAGAUAUGUGGAGGAACACCUGUGGCGAAGGCGCCUUGCUGGCCAAUUUCUGACGCUGAGGCGCGAAAGCGUGGGGAGCAAACAGG
rnacentral:rRNA from 1 species